AGCCACCAACGCCGGAUCUCACAAUCAAAAUAGCUAGAUCUCAUCCUCUCUUGCCGAAACCCUAACCCGAUCCACCGCAUUACCUUCUCCUUCCCUCCUCUCCUUCUCUCUCUCUCUCUCUCUCUCUCUCUCUCUCUCUCUCUCUCUCUAGACUUCCUUAGAUUGGAAGUCCUUUUGGAUAGUUAUUCCAUUCGCUAGGGAUGACACUACAGAUGGAUAGGGUUUGCAAUCUUAUUCUUCCUUUUUUUUUCAUUUCAGAAGUUUUAGGAGUUGGUGGUUUGUGAAAUUUUGUGUGUGUGUGUGUGUGUGUGUGUUUAAACAGUUUAGCUUAAGAAGCCCUCUUAUUGUAAUCUCAAGGGUUUUGGAGCAACGAUGAGCGCUAGUGAACAAUUGAUCUCGGUCAACCCUGAGGAGCUCACCUUCGAAUAUAGUGAUGAUUCUUCCCUUUUUUCAUUUAAGAAGUUCUGAGUGUUAGUAAUUUGUGAAAUUUUGUAUUUUUUUUAAUAAUUGAGCUUGAGAAGGCAAGUGGAAGUAUGGUUUCAGAAUAGAAGAGCUAGGUUUGUUCCUUCUCAUCUUUGUCUUCUUCUCUAUUUUUCCAAAUUUUUUAAUUCAAGGUUUCUAAUUCGUGAAGUAGGGACAACAAGCCAAACAAAGGUUCUCUCCAUCCAAAAUAUAUAUUAUUAAAUUAUGCAAUUUUGCUGGUUUUUAUUGUUUGCAACUAAGGAAAUAUUUAUGCAUUUAACUUUUCAAAUAAUCUCUACUGAUAACUAAUGAUCUAAAUUCCUGCAUUGUUACAAUUGAAGUGGAAGUAAUGCAGGAUAGGAUGAGAUUAAAUGUGAUUUUCAAUGUUUAACAUUGAAGAAUCAAUACUGUUAUAUCCUUAUUUUAAUGUUUCUCCUUACACAACCUCUGCAGAUUGUGAAGCCGACUUAGGAUUCAUCUGCCAAGCAAGAUGAUGUUAUUGAAAGUAGAACUCUAAUUCGGUUACAACAUAUGAGGUCCCGUAGAUGGCUGCAUAGUCAUUUGCAUAUUUCACCAAUAUCUGGUGAUAUGGAGGGAUGAUGUUUUUCUUUGCAAAGAUUUGACAUGUACUGGAGAUACGAUUUGAUGUGAUUCUUUGCAAAGAUUUGAUGUAAUCUUGUGACUCUGCUGACAUCUUCACAUUAGUUGAAUUUUUUUGACUUUUUUAUGUACUUAUAUAGGAAACAAAAAUAAUAAUAAUUAUUAUCCUUCAUGGUUAUAAAAGUAUGUGACUGCAUUGUAAGAAAGUGAGAACUUUUUAGA